UUUGUGUGUUGCUCUCUCUCUCUCUUUCUCUCUCUCUCUCUCGCUCUCUCUCUCCCACUCUCUCCCUCCCCCUCUUCCUUUCUCUCUCUCUCUCUCCUCUCCCCCCUCUCUCCCCCCUCCUCACUCUCUCUUGCUCCCUCUCUCUCUUUGCCAUUUUCACCGGGCAAAUCAACUGUAGCUGUUCCCUUUUAGAGACCCACCAAGUCAUUUCCUUUGCUUGAUGCAAAAAAGGAGGAGGGGAGUAACUCAAGCAAAAAAAUUAAGAAGAAGAGGCGAGCAUGCACAUCCUGCACGCUGUUUACAAACACAGAGUCUGAGAGGAACAAGUAAUAAGGUGUCGGUUGUGUCUUCGUGGCGCGUCUGAACCACGCUCGAACUGGCAGCACCGGAUGGAAGAUGAACCUUGACAGCGUGUCUGGAAAGGUGUGAGAGAGCCAGUGGAGCCCAACGUGGUAGGAGUCGAUUACGGAACAAUCGCCAUUGGCCAGCGUCCUCGGACACCUGGCAAAAACAGCGGAGCAUCAGACCCAGCUACAGCAGGCCCAGAACGAGGUCCUGGUGGAGCUUGGCCGCCGACCGGGAGGCCAUGCGGGGCUCCGGAGAACGUGGCGGGGAAACCCGACCGGGGCGACAAAUAUAUGUCCCCAAAAUGGGGGAGGCCGACGACCCAGAGGUCUUCCUGGAGACCUUCCGGGGGGUGGCCGAGGUCUCCAAGUGGCCGCCGCAGGAGUGGGCCCACCGUCUCCUGCCCCUGCUGACGGGAUGGGUCCCAGCUCGCGGCCCACAGCCUACCAGCAGCAGUCCAGAAGGACUUCGACACCAUCGCCAGGGCUAUCCGGGACCGGUUGGGCCUAAACCCGGAGGAACAUCGCCGCCGGUUCCGGGCCCUGGCCUUCACCGACGGCCGACGGCCCUUCACCUACACCCAGCAGCUGCGGGACCAGGCGAGGAGGUGGCUGGACCCGGAACGAAACACACAGGAGGGAGAUUCAGUAACUGGGGUUCCACCUGGGGCGGGGGAAGGUCCGGCCCCAGGUCGCCGCAGGUCGGUAAGAC
ensembl:lncRNA